UACAGAGGUCUCAAGCGUUGUUCGGAUUCAUUGGGCGUAAAGGGUGCGUAGGCGGCGUGGUAAGUCGGGUGUGAAAUCUCGGAGCUUAACUCCGAAACUGCAUUCGAUACUGCCGUGCUUGAGGACUGGAGAGGAGACUGGAAUUUACGGUGUAGCGGUGAAAUGCGUAGAUAUCGGGAGGAACACCCGUGGCGAAGGCGGCACUCUGGGCCGGAACUGACGCUGAGACGCGAAAGCGUGGGGAGCAAACAGG
rnacentral:rRNA from 1 species